rnacentral:piRNA from 1 species
AACCAAAGUAGAUGCCUGCAGAG